rnacentral:rRNA from 1 species
UNUGGAAACUGUCUGACUUGAGUGCAGAAGGGGAGAGUGGAAUUCCAUGUGUAGCGGUGAAAUGCGUAGAUAUAUGGAGGANCACCAGUGGCGAAAGCGGCUCUCUGGUCUGUCACUGACGCUGAGGCUCGAAAGCGUGGGUAGCGAACAGGAUUAGAUACCCUGGUAGUCCACGCCGUAAACGAUGAGUGCUAGGUGUUAGGCCCUUUCCGGGGCUUAGUGCCGGAGCUAACGCAAUAAGCACUCCGCCUGGGGAGUACGACCGCAAGGUUGAAACUCAAAGGAAUUGACGGGGGCCCGCACAAGCGGUGGAGCAUGUGGUUUAAUUCGAAGCAACGCGAAGAACCUUACCAGGUCUUGACAUCCCGAUGCUAUUCUUAGAGAUAGGAAGUUACUUCGGUACAUCGGAGACAGGUGGUGCAUGGUUGUCGUCAGCUCGUGUCGUGAGAUGUUGGGUUAAGUCCCGCAACGAGCGCAACCCUUAUUGUUAGUUGCCAUCAUUAAGUUGGGCACUCUAGCGAGACUGCCGGUAAUAAACCGGAGGAAGGUGGGGAUGACGUCAAAUCAUCAUGCCCCUUAUGACCUGGGCUACACACGUGCUACAAUGGUCGGUACAACGAGUUGUGAGCCGGUGACGGCAAGCUAAUCUCUGAAAGCCGAUCUCAGUUCGGAUUGGAGGCUGCAACUCGCCUCCAUGAAGUCGGAAUCGCUAGUAAUCGCGGAUCAGCACGCCGCGGUGAAUACGUUCCCGGGCCUUGUACACACCGCCCGUCACACCACGAGAGUUUGUAACACCCGAAGUCGGUGAGGUAACCUUUUAGGGGCCAGCCG